GCCCCAUUCCCUCUCGGCCACGCCCACCACGGCCCACUGGCCAGGGAGCCGCUACGCAGAUGUUUUCGCCUCUGCGGGUGUAGGCUCCGGGUCGGGCUUCCGGGUCCCUUUCCUGGCUCUGGCGCCUUCCAGCUGUGUGACCGGGCGAGGCCCUGAGCCUCUUGAGGGUUCAGUGCCCUCCUCCGUACAAUGGGCCAACAACAGCCCCUUCCCUGGGGAUCUCGGUGAGGGUUGGUUGCUCUGCAGGGUGCCCUGGGCCUGUGCCAGCGCGCUCAGGCAUCCUGGUGACCAACCACAGCUGGCACUGGUGAACGCAGCCUCUUAGCCCAGGCAGGCUCUGGUCAGCCUCACCUGCUGGGACCGCUGAGUGGUCCAAGAGCUGGCUUGGCUGACUGGGACCUGGGCCUCAGCUUCCCCAUCUGUGCAGGGGGCCGCUGGUGAUACCGGUCCCUGCCAUGCCCUGGUGGAGAUAUGGCCCAGUGAGACUUCGUGAGGGGUCUAGGCCACUGCUGUCACGUGGUACGUCUUCUACCCUGGCCCCUAGGUGGCCCUGGCCUCAGCCUUGCUCUAAAGAGGAAUGAAGCCCAGCCCACAGCCCCUUAGCACAGAUACGCUCGGGAGACGGGACCCUCACCGUUACUCAUCUCCUUACUGUUCCCUGGACACCUUGGGGUCCCUGCGCCUCUCCACCCGUCCCUGCCAGGUCCUCCUGCUCCACCACAGGCCAUCUCCCUGGGCCUCAUCCAGACAGCUGGACACUGAGCACAGCUCUGUUGUCCUCUUCCCUGGGCUGAGUGGACUCAGAGGUGCUGGGGACUGCAUGGCCGCCGGACGAGGCGGGGGCUUUCCAACCCAACACCACCGAGCCUGCCUCUUCCUGCCCUGGAUGCUAUGUCUUCCAUAGAGCCGCUUUUCCAACACAGCAGGUAUGAAGUAUCCACCGGCCAUCUGAAAAUAAUGCAGUAACUAAGAAAAACAGUGGCGAGAGGAAGGAGUGUCGAUGCCCCAAAUGGAUCAUCUUCCAGAGCACGUCUACACCGAGAUCAAGAAUGAAAAGGUCUUUGGAGUGAAUGCCUAAGGCCUCCAAGCCCCGGGUCUCCUCUGUAUCAGGCGCUCACGCUGUGGGAGCUGCUUUCUCUCUGCUCCACUUCUACAGAGAAAGAAAAUCACAAGCAUUUCCCACACUUCCCCCAAGCCUUGACGUAUCACAGUUCACUCAUGGAGUUGUCAACAGACACAGGCACACACAGACCAGACUGUGGGCUCGGGAGGCGGGAACAAACCCCUCCUUCAGGAGACCUGGCAGCAGGCCAGGGGGCGCCCCAGGGCCCACCCAGCGCAGG
rnacentral:lncRNA from 1 species